GAUCAAGCUAAUAUGGGCGCAUGGCGGAUGCCAUGGCACCAGGAGCCUAAGAAGGACGCGAUAAGCUGCGAAAAGCUACGGGUAGCCGCACAUAGGCGGAGAUCCGUAGAUAUCCGAAUGGGGGAACCCACUUGAGAAACCUCAAGUAUCGUGCACUGAAUAAAUAGGUGUACGAAGGCAGACCCAGGGAACUGAAACAUCUAAGUACCUGGAGGAAGAGAAAGAAUCAUCGAUUUUCUAAGUAGCGGCGAGCGAAAGGGAAAGAGCCCAAACCACACCUUUUAGGUGUUGGGUUGUGGACAGCUCAUCACGAAGAGGUAUUCUAAAUGAACAGGACUGGAAAGUCCGGCCAUAGAAGGUAAUAGCCCUGUAAUUGAAAGAAGGAAACUCCAGAGCUGCUCCAGAGUACCACGGGACACGAGAAACCCCGUGGGAAGCAGGGAGGACCACCUCCCAAGGCUAAAUACUACCUGGUGACCGAUAGCGAAUAGUACCGUGAGGGAAAGGUGAAAAGAACCCCGGGAGGGGAGUGAAAUAGAACCUGAAACCGUGUGCUUACAAACAGUCGGAGGGCGUUAAAGCCUGACGGCGUGCUUUUUGUAGAACGAGCCAGCGAGUUACGGU
rnacentral:rRNA from 1 species